GGAAGUAAAAGGUAACAAGGUCUCCGUUGGUGAACCAGCGGAGGGAUCAUUACCGAGUUUACAACUCCCAAACCCCAUGUGAACCUUACCAAACGUUGCUUCGGCGGGAUGCCCCGGGCGCGGGCCGCAAGGCCUCAGCCCCGGAACCAGGCGCCCGCCGGAGGCCCAAACCAAACUCUUGUUUUUGUAGAAUCUUCUGAGUGGCCUUUUAGGCAAAAAAUGAAUCAAAACUUUCAACAACGGAUCUCUUGGUUCUG
rnacentral:misc_RNA from 1 species